rnacentral:lncRNA from 1 species
CCGGGGGCUGGAGUCACCGGCAUCUACCGAGUGCCCGGCAACAACGCCAUGGUGUCCAGCCUGCAGGAGCAGCUCAACCGCGGGCCCGGCGACAUCAACCUGCAAGACGAGCGCUGGCAGGACCUCAAUGUCAUCAGCAGCCUGCUCAAGUCCUUCUUCACGGAAGCUGCCCGAGCCUCUGUUCACCAAUGACAAAUACAACGACUUCCAUCGGGGCCAAUCGCAUAGAGGAUGCAGGGAGCGGAUGAAGACACUUCGGAAGCUGAUCCGGGACCUCCCAGGACACUACUACGAGACACUCAAGUUCCUCGUGGGCCACCUCAAGACCAUCGCGGACCACUCAGAGCAGAACAAGAUGGAGCCCCGGAACCCUGGCCCUGGUGUUCGGGCCGACAUUGGUGAGGACAUCUGAGGACAACAUGAUGGACAUGGUGACCCACAUGCCCGACCGAUACAAGAUCGUGGAGACACUGAUCCAGCACUCGGACUGGUUCUUCAGCGAUGACAAGGACAAAGGGCGAGAGAGUAAGUGAUGUGCGAGGGAUCCGAGUCCUGGGAUGGGGUGGCAACAGGACUGGGGGACCCUUUCUGCUCAGAGCACCCAGCCCUGGAGCUGCCCAGGCUGACGGGGCUGCCUGGCUCUGUCCCCGUCCCCUGGUCUCUGCUGAGGAGACCUCUGGGAUCCUCCCUCAUUGGGGAAGGCGCAGACACGCGCCACCUCCUGCCCCAUGGCCUGUCUGCUGUCCCUGGGGGCCGGGCCGCCUGGGGGACCUGCGUGCUGACCCCUCCUCUUCACAGACCCCCGUGGACUGACAAGGAGCCGCAGUCGGUGCCCAACAUCGGUACCUGCUGCCCAACAUCGGCAGGACGGUGCCCCCCGCGACCCAGGCCCAGAUUUCGCCACCUGCAGUUCAGCCAAGUCCAAGACAUGGUGCCACAGUACUUGGGAGGCUGAGGCGGGAGGAUCCCCAGGAGUUCAAGGUCAGCCAGGACUACAUAGUGAGACCUUGUUUCAAAAACUAACUAACUAAAUAAACCUAAAUAAAUAAAAAUUUAAAAAUAAAACCAAUUCUCCAUCAUCUCUUCCAGAAUAUAGAGGAGGAAGGACCACUUUCACCUCAUGCUUGAGACCACAGUGCCCUGAGGACAGAGACCUGGCACUGUUGGAGGGGACAGGGUUAGACCACAGAUACUUAACUGAGCCUCUCCUAUUGAUCGGCACUGUGCUCAGACAGAAAUAUAAAAAUGAGCCCCAGUCUCAAAGGAAGCUGGACAUUAAGCUAAGGAACCAGAUGUGGGUGGGGGUAGAGUGGACACAGAAGCCGGGAGGAAGAGGCAAGCUGCUCCCCACCAGGCCGAAAGAGCAGGUGCAGAGCACUCUUUUGAGCAGCCUGUCUAUGAAGAGUGUUUGGAGCAAAAACUGCAAACCCAUGGCCAGGCAUGGUGGUGCACUCCUGUAAUCCCAACUAUUUAGGAGGCUGAGGCAGGAGGAUGCCAGUUGAAGGCCAGUCUGGGCUACUUAGCAAGACCUUAUCUCAAAAAUGACGCUUCAGAGGAAAGGCUGGUCAGGGAUCCCAGCGUGAAAGGUGGGCAGCCGGGUCAGAGUCAGGGCCAUGGGCUGAGGGACGCUGUGGGAGGAUGAGGGCCCCUCCCGGUCCCCGCAGGUCUCGGCAGAGCUGGGAGGUGACCAGAGUCCCGCCCCACACGCUGGGACGGGGGGGCACACAGCCCUGGUGGAGGUACAGCUAAGGCCCAGGAAGGACAGGGGUGAGGGGAGGAGCCGCCGUGGCGGAGGGGACAGGACACCACAGGCCGGAACAAGGACGGAGGCCCCGGGCAGGGAGGAGGGGCGGCCAGUGUGGCCCUGUGUGGGCCCGCUGUGACAGCAGCCCCCAAGCAGAGGGUUCUUGGGGAGCCUGGAGAGCUCCGGGUGGGGCCUGGGGUCGGGGUACAGAAUUUCCCAGCGGACGGGAGCAGAGGCCGCUGCUUGGAGCCCGGCCUGGGCAGCUUCGCGGUCCGGGCGUCCCUGGGGCCCGGGCUGGGCGCCCUCACUCCGCGUCGUCUCCCGGACAGGCUUCGUGGGCGCCAGGAAGGAGCCGUACGCGCGGGAGAUGCUGGCGAUCUCCUUCAUCUCGGCAGUCAACCGCAAGCGCAAGAAGCGGCGGGAGGCGCGGCCUGGGGAGCAGCACGGACGACGACUCGGAGCACGAGGCGGCCUGGGGGGGGCGCCUGGGCCCUGAGCCACCGCCGCGUGCCCCGAGCCCCACGCCCCCCGCGGCCCCGGCGCCGGACGCCCGGGCUCCGUGGCGUCGGGGCUACCCACGCUGUCGUCGGCCGGCGCGCGGCGCGCGGCGGGCGGGCGCGGGGGACGAGGCGGACGACGAGCGCAGCGAGCCCAGCCUGGCGGGCACCGACACGGAAGGCGGCGCGGGCGCGCGGGGGCGCUGGCCCUCGUUCAGCUCGCACCGCCUCAUGCCCUGCGACACCCUGGCGCGCCGCCGCCUGGCCCGGGGGCGCGCUGACCCCGAGGGCCCCCGCGCGCCCGCGCCAGGCUCCGCCUCGUCCAGCAGCCAGGAGUCGCUGCGCCCCCCAGGGGCCGCGGAGGCGCUGGGCGCGCGGCCCUCGCGCCUGGAGACGCUGCGCCUGCGGCUGCGUGGCACAGCCGACGACAUGGCGUGCGCUUGCGCCGUCCGCUGUCCCCGGAGACGCGGCGACGCCGCAGCAGCUGGCGGCGCCACACGGUGGUGGUGCAGAGCCCGCUCACCGACCUCAACUUCAACGAGUGGAAGGAGCGGGGCGCGCAGGGGCCGCGGGCGCGCGCGCCCACAGUGACAACAAGGACUCGGGGCUCAGCAGCUUGAGUCCACCAAGGCGCGCGCCUCGUCCUCCGCCGCCUCGCUGCCCCCCGGGGGACUUGGGGACCCUGCAGGCUGUGGCCACCGCCUCCCGCCUCCACCCGUGUCUCUGACCCCCGCGCCCCGCUCUCCCUUGGCUUUCGUCCCCGCUCUGGGGCCUCUGGCCGGAGCAGAAAGGCUGCAGGUCACCCCUAGCUUGUGUGGUGGAAUGGGGGGCAGGGACCCCCGGAAAGGGGGGCUUCUGGUCCUGUCCCCUGCGUGUGUGACCGAGUGGGCCCCUCUGUGUCUGCUCCGCGAAACCCUUGUCGACCGUGGAGUGUGGGUGUGGAAGCCCCGGGUUUCAGGCCGACUUUUGCGCCCCUCACUUUCUUGGUCUACUGAGGGGGGGGGUGUCAGGGGAGGAGGUGCCGGCGGAGCGCCCGCAAGGGAGAGGGCUGUGUGUGUGCCCGUGAGUAGUCGCUGUCCAAAGAUGUUUCCGGUAGCAAUUCUGCCUGUCCAGUGCCCUUCCACCGCCCCCAGCCCCCCAAGGUCCCUUCCUUUGGGACGCUCAGGUGUCUGUCCCUGCUCCUCUCAGAGCCAGAGAAAGGGUUGGGCCACAGACGCAGGACUGAAACCCUCACCAAGGUCACCCCCGCAGAUCCUUUGCCAACCUCCUCGUCACUCACGCCCAGCCAUCAGAUGGUGGGGAGCUGCUGACCCCAGCAGUUUGAAGGUCUGGGGUCCCCUCGCCUGUACCCCCUCCUUCCUUUUGUUUUGUAUUGGGUGUUUUAUUUUUUGUUUUUCUAGGGACAGGGUCUCACUAUAUAGCCCAGGCUGGCCUUGAAUUUGUGGAGAUUCUCCUGCCCCAGCCUCCUCCCUCCAUUUUGCUUUCCUGCUGUGCCUCAGCUCAGGCACAGGGACCCUAACCUUCUUCCUUGUAAGGGGGGAGCAGUCACCAGCCCCUGGCGUCCUCUGUCACACUGAUUUGUGGGUUCUGACCUGGGUGGCCCUGCCAGGUGGGUGGGGCCCAGUGCCCUUGGUCCCCCCUGCACUGUUUAUAGACCUCCGGUCACCGCGGCCUCACGUCCCUUCACUCAUUCCAGAGAAGCCCCAGGCCUCAUGGAUGGACCCCACUGCCACAUCCGUCGGUCUCCCUUUUUAGGCAGAAUUGCUCAGAGACCUCUCCUCCUUCCCCAUCCUUUUUAUUGUAAAUAUUGUCUCUAAAUGUGUAACAUAUUAUAAAGAAUUUAUAAGGAUUUUUAAAGAUGUUUUGCUCAUUUACAGAAGUGCUGUAACAGUGUUGGUUAAAGGCCCCCCCUUGUACGCAUGGCUUCCCACCAUCGUGUCCCUGACACAAUUCUAAGCGACAACUAAGACUUCCUGCUUCCCAAAAAGUCCUGUCUUAGCACUACAGUCUUUAUCUUGGAAAUAAAUGGCCUUCCUCCAGGCUUGAGUCAGC